rnacentral:rRNA from 1 species
UAGGGAAUCUUCGGCAAUGGACGAAAGUCUGACCGAGCAACGCCGCGUGAGUGAAGAAGGUUUUCGGAUCGUAAAACUCUGUUGUUAGAGAAGAACAAGGACGUUAGUAACUGAACGUCCCCUGACGGUAUCUAACCAGAAAGCCACGGCUAACUACGUGCCAGCAGCCGCGGUAAUACGUAGGUGGCAAGCGUUGUCCGGAUUUAUUGGGCGUAAAGCGAGCGCAGGCGGUUUCUUAAGUCGGAUGUGAAAGCCCCCGGCUCAACCGGGGAGGGUCAUUGGGAACUGGGAGACUUGAGUGCAGAAGAGGAGAGUGGAAUUCCAUGUGUAGCGGUGAAAUGCGUAGAUAUAUGGAGGAACACCAGUGGCGAAGGCGGCUCUCUGGUCUGUAACUGACGCUGAGGCUCGAAAGCGUGGGGAGCAAACAGG